AUUUUUUCUUUCUUGUUAUAUUAUUAUUGAAAGUAAUAAAAUAAUUGUAAUUUGUUUUUGUACUACUUGAUCUUGAUAAUUUAAUCAAUAAAUCGUCGUCAAUUAAAUUUAUAAAAAUGGUGAAUUACAUGUGCUGAACACAUUUUUAAAAAACUCAACCCAAUAAAUUAUCUAUCAAAUUUAUGAACAUGGGUAGUUUAACGGUAGCUGAUGCAAAUGCGCUUACACUCGAAAUCGGCCCCUUUGAAACGGUUCAUAGAUGGAAACGAAUGCCAGAAUGUGACGAAUUUGUUGGAGCCAGGCGAAGUAAACACACAGUUGUUGCUUACAAAGAUGCUAUUUAUGUGUUCGGAGGAGACAAUGGUAAAAGUAUGUUGAACGAUUUAUUACGUUUUGAUGUGAAAGAAAAAAGUUGGGGUCGUGCGUUCGCUACGGGAUCUCCACCUGCACCAAGGUAUCAUCAUUCCGCAGUUGUUUAUAACACUUCCAUGUUCGUUUUUGGUGGUUAUACCGGUGAUAUUCACUCAAACUCUAAUCUAACAAAUAAAAAUGAUUUAUUUGAAUAUAAAUUCAAUUCCGGUCAAUGGGUGGAGUGGAAAUGGUUUCCAGGGCAAACGCCAGUACCUAGAUCAGCGCACGGAGCUGCUGUUUUUGAUAAUAAACUAUGGAUAUUCGCAGGUUAUGAUGGAAAUGCUCGAUUGAAUGAUAUGUGGACUAUACCUCUAAUUGGCGAUGUGAAGAGUUGGGAGGAAGUUGAUCAAAAGGGUGAAUGUCCGCCUACGUGUUGUAAUUUCCCCGUCGCAGUAGCUAGGGAUUGUAUGUUUGUUUUCAGUGGUCAAAGUGGGGCUAAAAUAACAAACUCUCUAUUUCAAUUCGACUUUAAAGAUAAAAUUUGGACGAGAAUAUCUACUGAACACAUUCUUCGAGGUGCUCCUGCUCCUCCAGCGCGACGUUACGGACAUACUAUGGUGUCAUUUGAUCGACAUUUAUAUGUAUUCGGUGGAGCUGCAGAUUCAACUCUAUCAAAUGAUUUACACUGUUUUGAUUUAGAUUCACGUAAAUGGUCUAUAGUAUUACCAGAUGCGGAAUCUUUUGUACCAUCCGGUAGGUUGUUUCAUGCAGCUGCUGUUGUCGGCGAUGCCAUGUUCAUUUUCGGUGGUACCGGGGAUAAUAAUGUUCGAAGCGGAGAGAUGUAUAGAUUUCAGUUUUCGAAUUAUCCCAAAUGUACCCUACACGAAGAUUACGGUAAAUUACUUGAAACUAGAAUGUUUUGUGAUACUCAAUUUAUUGUCGGCCCCGAAGAAAGGAAAAUAACCGGUCACGUCGCUUUGGUGGCUGCUAGAUCCGGUUACUUAAGGAAAUUAAUUCGACAGGCUAAAAUUGAUCGCGACAAGCAUUUAGAAAGAGUGUUUGGUACUUCGAAUGUUCCUUUUGCUGAUAUACCUUUAGCGGAAGUAAAACUUCCUGAUGCCGAUCCUGAAGCUUUCGAAAUGGUUUUGAAUUAUAUAUACAUGGAUUGUAUCGAUCCGACUAAAAGGGGUAGAGAUGGUGAAGAUCCUUUUUCUAAUAGAAUCGUUUUGAGGAUGAUGGACGUUUAUAGGUUGGCAGUACAAUUUAACAUGGCGAGAUUGGAACAUUUGUGUGUUCAAUACUUAAAUGCUACUAUUUGUUUAAAAAAUGUUCUGGUCGCUUUACAUAAAGCCGAUCAACUUCAGUUGGACUUUAUCAAAGAACAUUGUUUACGAUAUAUAGUUAAAGAGAGUAAUUAUAAUCAGAUAGUAAUGAGUACUGAAUUUGAAACCUUGGAUCGGAGUCUAAUGGUGGAAAUUAUAAGAAGAAAACAGAUGCCUCAAUAUAAGGCCCUUGCUGAAAAUCAAUUCGAUACAGCCGGAGGUUCCCUAGAACAAGAUAUGGCGAUGUUUUUACGAGUAACCGGUAAAGAAUUCUGCGACAUCGAUUUGAACUUAGACGGAAAUCUCAUUCCGGCUCAUAAAACUAUCCUAGCAGCUCGAUGUGGGUAUUUUGAAGCCAUGUUUAGAUCAUUUAUGCCAGCUGAUAGCAAAGUUAACAUCCAAAUAGGUGAAAUGAUACCAUCAAAAGAAUCAUUCGAUUCCCUACUACGAUAUAUCUAUUAUGGUGAUGUAAAUAUGCCUCCUGAAGAUUCUCUCUACCUCUUCUCGGCCCCUUUCUUUUACGGUUUCACCAACAAUCGCCUACAAGCUUUUUGUAAACAGAAUCUCGAAAUGAACGUCACUUUCGAAAAUGUUAUACAAAUUUUAGAAGCCGCAGAUAAAAUGCAAGCCACAGAUAUGAAAAAAUACGCUUUGGAUUUAAUCGUUCACCAUUUUACCAAAGUGGCGAAAUUACCCAGAUUGCGUUUGCUGAGUAAAGAAUUAAUUCUGGAUAUAUUAGAAGUUCUUGCGGAAAGUAUGGAAUCGAAUAUGCGUAACGACGUUUCGAAUUCUCUGUUAAAUUUGGAUCAAUGAUUGUCGUUGAUGAGAAAGGAUAUGAAGUUAACUUUGAGACGAGUAACGAUUAUAUUGAUUACUGUUAUUUCGGCCAUUAUCGAUAGAAGUUUGUUGGAAAAACUCGAAUACAAAGAUGUAUAUUUCUAAUGGUUGUUUUCUGAAGGUACCUCGUAUGUAUUAUAUUCUUAAUACUUUAAAGGCUGUUUUUCAACUUUUUUGUAGAAUUCAUAGCUAGAUUUUGAUUAAAAUUAUGUUUUUGUCGAAAAUAUAGUGAAUUUCAAUAGUAGUUCAAAUGUACCAUCAAAUAUAUUUUAAAAAGUUAUAAAAAAAUUGAAAUUAUUGGUUAAAACGGGUGGACAUUAAUGAAAUAAGUAUAAAGCAUAAUUUAUUGUUUCUAUCACUUGUAUUAAAUUAAAAAUGUUACAGGGACAUCUCGAAAUGUUUUUAAAAUAAAAACUUGAAACGAAAAAUUAGUUUCCAUUGUAAGUUUCCAAAAAAAAUCGAUUAAACAUACCAAAUUGUUUUAUGUGUCAAUCUUAAUUGGGUUUUGAUAACUAUUAUCAAUGAUUUUUCCGAAUUCAUAAUGAUUAAUGAUAUAUUUUUUCAAUCUUUUCAAAUAGUCGUUUUCUGAAAGACCCUCGUAUACAUUCAUGAUAAUUUCGAAAGCAUUUUCACAUUUUUGUAGAAUGGAGUCACUAUAAUUUGAAAAAAAUUUAAUUUUAUGGGAAUAAUAUCAAUAAUAAUUCAAAUGUACAAUCAAAUGUUUUUUGAAAAUUUGUCGAAAAAAGUGAAAUUAUUGGUUAAAUACGGGUGAACAGUAAUAGAUUGAGUAUAAAACAUAAUUUACUGAUUUAGUCACAAAGAUUUCAUUAAAAAAUGUUACAAAAACAUUUCAAUUUGUUUCUAUAUAACUACUAGUAACGAAAACUAAUUUUUUUGUAUGAAUUCACAAAAAUCGAUUUAUUUUUAUUUAAAAAAAUUCUACAAUUUUGAUUUUUUUGAUUCAAAAUACAAUUUAUUACUUGGAAAUUUAAAUAUUGAAACUAUUGAAUAAACUAUUUUUCUCAUCGUGUUUUAUUUAUAAAAGUUCGGAUGAUAAAUAAAUUCCUUUUUUUCCUAUAUUAGUUCACCAUUUUUCAAAUUUUGAUACAUUCUCAUAAUACGAGGGCUAUAUAUAAAGUAACAAAUUUUCUGGUCAGCACCGCCAUCUUGACAUCAAAAUGGUUAUAUACUUAUAAAGCAUGGCAUUAAAAUAAUUAGACCAGAAAAUCCUGGAAGUUUUUCAAGACUUUUUCUUGGUGGAAAAUAGAAUAAACGACAUUUAUAUCCAGAUUUAGUUCAGCAAAAAAUUUUCUACACAACAAACAUCGUUUUCAUACGACCUCAUUUACCAAAAACUCUAAUGAAAAAUUAUAAAUCAUCUGUCAAAUGAUUAUAACCUAUUUCCAAUUAAAGAGAUGAAGGUAUGUUCAAGAAUUCUCGAAUGUCAAAUCAAGUAUCUCUAAAAUAAUUAUAACCUAUUUAUAGUGAUAGAAAUGAAGUUAGGUCUAAGAACUCUUAAAUAACAAGUUAUCAUUUAUCUGCCAGAUGAUUAUAACCUAUUUCCAGUGGUAGAGAUGAAGUUGGGUCUAAGAACUCCCAAAUCAAAAGUUAUAAUUUAACUGUCAAAUGGUUAUAACUUAUUUCCAGUAAUAUAAGGCAUUUUCUAGACAACCCUCGUACUACUUACUUUACAAUAUAAAAAAUUUAUUUAUUCUAUUUAUUUUCAUAACUAUGGAGCAAAAAAAUUAACAUUAAAAUGCUGUAAACAUUUGAAGAAAAAAACUAUACAAAAUUUUAUCAUUCUAAAAGUUCCUUUUUUCAAAAAAAUAUUUUGUAGCAUUAACAAAAUCACCAUUUAUUCUAAUAUAACCCACAAACUCAUUCACCUGGCUUCUUAUUGGUUUAAAUGAUUCUGGCUGAAGAAAUUCCAAUAAUUCUUUUUCUAAAACGUUGAUGUCACCCUGGAUUUUUUUAAUGAUUGUAUGUCGCUUCAAACCACCCUGAGAUAUUUUUAAAUAAACAGGUAACAUGUGAUUUUUCGUUCUUUGGAUAAAAUAAGCUUUAUCUUUUAAAUUUUCACCUUGCGGUUUCCAUCCAGAAGCGGACCUGUCUUUUGAAAUUGGUUCGGGAAUUAUUGAUGGUGGAAGGGCUCUUUCUACGUAUUUCCAUUCAUUUGGAUCGUUUGUUUUUUCAAAUUUUGUAGUUAUUUCUCCUACAUCUUCCAGAAAUGGAGAAGCUGUGUAACUUCCAUUUCUUACUUGUAUGAA